rnacentral:rRNA from 1 species
AUACGGAGGGUGCAAGCGUUAUUCGGAAUCACUGGGCGUAAAGGACGCGUAGGCGGGUUGGCAAGUCAGAUGUGAAAUCCUACAGCUUAACUGUAGAACUGCAUUUGAAACUGCUAACCUAGAGUAUGGGAGGGGGAGAUGGAAUUAGUGGUGUAGGGGUAAAAUCUGUAGAUAUCACUAGGAAUACCGAAAGCGAAGGCGAUCUCCUGGAACAUAACUGACGCUAAGGCGUGAAAGCGUGGGGAGCAAACAGGAUUAGAUACCCUUGUAGUCC